rnacentral:rRNA from 1 species
GACGGAGGGUGCAAGCGUUGUUCGGAAUCACUGGGCGUAAAGCGCACGCAGGCGGUCUGUCAAGUCGGAUGUGAAUCCCCGGGCUCAACCUGGGAACUGCAUCCGAAACUGGCAGGCUAGAGUCUUGUAGAGGGGGGUAGAAUUCCAGGUGUAGCGGUGAAAUGCGUAGAGAUCUGGAGGAAUACCGGUGGCGAAGGCGGCCCCCUGGACAAAGACUGACGCUCAGGUGCGAAAGCGUGGGGAGCAAACAGGAUUAGAUACCCCCGUAGUC